UACGGAGGGAGCUAGCGUUAUUCGGAAUUACUGGGCGUAAAGCGCACGUAGGCGGCUUUGUAAGUAAGAGGUGAAAGCCUGGUGCUCAACACCAGAACUGCCUUUUAGACUGCAUCGCUUGAAUCCAGGAGAGGUGAGUGGAAUUCCGAGUGUAGAGGUGAAAUUCGUAGAUAUUCGGAAGAACACCAGUGGCGAAGGCGGCUCACUGGACUGGUAUUGACGCUGAGGUGGCGAAAGCGUGGGGAGCAAACAGG
rnacentral:rRNA from 1 species